GAAAAAUUAGUUUAAAUAAAACCUUGUUUUGUCAAAACAAAAAUAUAUCUUAUAUAUUUUUCU
rnacentral:tRNA from 1 species